AGAGAGAGAGAUGCAAAGAACCCCACCAUGGCUACUCUAAUCCGAAUCAAACGCCGUGUAGCCGAGGAACCGCUGGACACAAUCCUGGUCCGAGCCAAGCGGAGGAGGGUGGACGGGGGCAACGGCUGGGUGGAUGGUGGUGGCGGUGGUGCAGAAAGUGGAUCGGAGGAGCAGCCGUCAGCCGUCCUUGCGAGAGUGGCCACUGUAGAGUAAGGAGACUCCAGUGGAUACCAGACUAGUAAGGGAGGCUGAGAGAGGCUGGGAGAGGCGACACAAACUUAGGACUCAACUCCACAAGGAAGCUGGGAGAGAGAGGGAGAGGAGAUGCCAGAUAGCAUCAAACACCACAACAACAACAACAACAACAACAACAACCAAAGACAGAAAGAGGAAGACACAAGAAGAGGAAGGAGAAGAAAAAGAAGAAGAAGAAGUAGAAGAGAAGAAGAUUAAGAUUUAUGACUCAGAAAUUUUAUCUUUGCAAAAUGGGCAAGAGGAUGUCAUAACUUGCAAUGGUGAGGUGAUGGAGGUCAAAUUUGUGUAUGACCUCUAUUACUUGCCCCCUGCUGUGACCUGGGAUGACCUGGUGUGUGAAAGAAACCUGGUUGGAGAGGAGGAGGAGGAUGAGGAGGAGGAAGAGGAGGAGGAGGAUGAGAAUGCAGAGGGUGACUGGAGAAAUGAUUACCCAGAGGAGGAGGAUGAAGAAGAAGAAGAAGAAGAAGAUAGGGACACAUUUUACUCCCUGGCAAGACCAAAACGCAUCUUCAACUGUAACUCCGAUGAGAGCUUUGAUGCAGAUGAAUAUGAAGAAGAAGAGGAGGAGGAGGAGGAGGAGGAGGAGGAAGACCCAGGAUUUGAUGAAGUAGGCAACCUCAUUAUAGAUUCACUAAAACUUAAUAGUGAGAGUGACAGAGAGAGUGACUGAGAGAGAGAGAGAGAGAGAGAGAGAGAGAGAGAGAGAGAGGCAUCCUUCAAUAGAUCUCUCCCAAAAUAAUAAUAAUAAUAAUAAUAAUAAUAAUAAUUGCCAAAGAAAAAUAAUUAAGAAUAUAUCAUUUAUUAAUAUAUUUGUUGUUUUAAGGGUUUUGUUAAUAAAGGUGAUUUUUGUAU
rnacentral:lncRNA from 1 species